UGGUGGAGCGAUUUGUCUGGUCAAUUCCGAUAACGAACGAGACUCUAGCCUACUAAAUAGUUCGGGGACCCCCACAAAGGGGCCCCGCUUCAACUGCUUAGAGGGACAGGUGGCGUUUAGCCACACGAGAUUGAGCAAUAACA
rnacentral:rRNA from 1 species